rnacentral:rRNA from 1 species
CCUACGGGAGGCUGCAGUGAGGAAUAUUGGUCAAUGGGAGGAAUCCUGAACCAGCCAUGCCGCGUGCAGGACGACGGCUCUACGAGUUGUAAACUGCUUUUGUACCGGGGUAAAAUGCCUUACGUGUAGGGUUUUGAAAGUACGGUACGAAUAAGGAUCGGCUAACUCCGUGCCAGCAGCCGCGGUAAUACGGAGGAUCCGAGCGUUAUCCGGAUUCAUUGGGUUUAAAGGGUGCGUAGGUUGUUUUAUAAGUUAGCGGUGAAAUACCGAUGCUCAACAUCGGGGCUGCCGCUAAUACUGUAGGACUAGAGGUCGGAUGCAGCAGGCGGAAUGUGUAGUGUAGCGGUGAAAUGCAUAGAUAUCGCGCAGAACUCCGAUUGCGAAGGCAGCGUACCGGCGCCGGACUGACGCUGAGGCACGAAAGCGUGGGUAUCGAACAGGAUUAGAUACCCCUGUAGUC